UUUUGUUUUCCUUCUCUUUCUUUAUCCUUUCCUCUUGCUAUUUUUCUUCUCUUUUUCUCUUUCUUUUGCCCUUUCUACUUUUCAGCUUUCUUUCUUCUCUUUCUUGCCCUCUUUGUCUCCAAAUGAUGUUUAAUUCCUCGGGCAGUGUCUAAGGUCAGCGGGCGGGGCUCCUUGCAUCCCCCUGCUCUUGCUGAGGGUUCGAGAGCCCUCUGCUGUCCACCCAGCCCUGCCCACUCUGUCCCUGUCUGAGUCACUUUCAACAUGAGGAGCCGUCAGAGCCGUCCUUGGGAUGUGGGGACAGCUCCCUCUACAAGGGAGGAAUGCUCCUGUAUCCUCACCUUGCUCCAUCAUCCAGCUCUUCCCUGGCUCAGGUUCUGCCUCUAAUGUCAACACGCGGCUCAGGACUCUCCAUUUUUUCCUGUGAAAGACAAUCUUAGAAAUUAUAAAUGAAUAAUUAAUGCAAUGUUUAUCUGAAGCAUAAUAAAUGUGUAAAAACUGCUCCCGUCAUGUGGAGAGGUGCCAAAUUGGAUCAUCAUCCACACAAUUCCCAUCACAAAGGUAGUAAUAUCCUUCCAACUACCAUAUAGAUCACUUCAGCUCAGUUAUGCACACAUAGAAAGCCCCAGAUGAGCCUUCCUGCUGGGGCCCUAUCAGCGCUGCCACAAGUCCUCAGCAACAGAGGUCAUGGCUAGCUGGAAUGCAGGGAAAAUUUGGCUAGAUUCAAUAAUUCAUAUCCAUAUAAAAUGGGCCUGAGUGGGAAAGAGAGGAUUAAAUACAAAGUGAUCCCCAGAGCCAAGAUUACUUGCUGAUGCUGGUGGCGGUACCUCGGACAGAAGGAGAUUUUUCCUGUUGGCUUUGUUAGUUGUGCAUAAAAGCCUCAUUAGCCCAUUCUGCUGGUCAUCCAUUUUUUAUAUGUGACAUCUCCUUUGGAGUGACUGUGGCUCUUUUCUCUGGCCUCUUUUGGGUGUGGGGGUUUCUGUCCCUCCUUGGGCUGAGGAUGUGUCCUGAGAGACAUGGGACAGGACAAAACCCUCCAGCCCCAUGGCCAGGGCCCUUCCAGACCUCCAUGCCCCCAGCACCAGCAGAAGGGUGGCAGGAACGAUGUUUGGACAAACCCCAUGAGAGCCCCUGACACCUCCAUUCCCCCACACCAGCCCCAGGCAGGUUGCAGCACAUGGCUUCCUACAAAGACACUCUAGGAAAAGGAAAUAUUCACUUUCUGGGGUAAAUAGCAGGGCUUCCUGUUCUUUCCAACUAGAUAUGAAAUAAUCCUUUGUUUUUAUUAGAUAUUUGUUUAAGUGGGAACCAGCCAGACCUCCUGGCUGGGGGCACUCACCCAGACAAAUGGCCAGACUGGAGGUAGAGUGUUCCCAGAGGCAAAGUCCUCCCUGGCUCAUCCCUGGAGCCCAGGUGUCUCCAUCUCAGCCUCACUGACUCCUGGGGGGCAGUGACGGGAGCAGGAAAGGGAUCCCCCAUGGCAGCAGGGGCAGCUCUCAUCCCUGGGGAUCCACCUGCACCACACCUGUGGUUGGAAGGCCCUUCCCUGUGUUGGGCCACCAUUUCUGAGCCUCCAGAGCCUAACAGGCUGGGCUGAAUGGGGGGGAUUCCGUCCCUCCUGCCUCUGCCUUGGCAUGGAUCACACCCUGAGAAUCAGCCAUGGUCCCACUGCUCCCAGGUACAGACAGUCACUUCUCCAGCCUCCCACCAAAUCCAGGCUCUUGCAGGUGCUGCCUGGGGCACGACACCCGAAUGCUGCUGGAGGCUCCCAGCCUUCCUCCGCCUCCUCCUCCUUCUCCUCCUCUUUGCCCUGCCCCUGCUUUCCAUCAGCCUCCCUCUGCCCACCCCAAGGUGCAUUCCACGUUGGUGAUAAGUCUAGGAGCUGGAGUAGUGAGGGAUAUUCCUCCUCCCCUGCGAGGUCCUGAGUACUCUUCCUCAAGGAAAAAUGAAGCGUUUUGAGAUAUUUGGGGCUCUGCCCUGGUUCAGAUGCCCCCAGGCAAAAGCUCAGUGCUGGAGCCAGGCUGUGGAGAGCAGAGGAGGCAGAGGAGCGAGCACCUGUGCUCUGCCUCCUCAACCUUGCUGAUCAGCAUUCCAAAUCUAAUGAAGCUGGGGGAGGAUGCUCCUGUUUGCCCGCUGUAAUGGAUCACGAUGCCGAGGUGGCUGGACGCUGGAUGUGGAGAUGGAGGGCCAUGGUAAUGUGACAAGAAUUAAUGAAACAUAACCAGACUUUCAUAUAAUUAAAAUCAGUAAUUGCUGGAAAGAUGGCUCAUGCAAAACGAUGGGCUGGGGGUGGGCAGGGUUGAUUAAAACUGGUGACUGGCUACAAAUGAUUAGAUUAAAAUCAAUUAACUGUAGAAUUGCUGUCUGGCAUAUGGAAGGAUAAUUCAGUUAUGUAACCGACAGCAGGAUUUGCACUUUGCAAAUGUUGUUUCAGUGUAUCAGACCAGGCUUAGGCAACCUGGUUAUUUAACAGGACACACUUGUGAUUCCUGGUUCCGAGGGUGGGAUUUGGUAACAAGAUGCAAGGCAGAGCCCGCAGCCCAGGGCUGCUCUCUCUCUAAAAAGCAAGAAAGCCCAGAGACGGCUAGGAUCCCCUGCUCUGCCCUGGUUAUUUGUAAACAGGAGCUCUUUUAAAGACUGGUUGGAUUAAGGAAGCAUUAGUGGAAUUCCACGCUCGGCAUCCUCCCUAGAGUUUGCUGGUGGCACUGCCCAUUAGCGCUAAUGCAGCCGCAUUAGUACAUUGAAAGCAUUCAUGUGUCACAGCAUCCCUGACGCUCCGGCUCCUCUUCCUUCCCUAAGCCCCGGGAAAAGCUGGGCUGAAACCCUGCCGAGGGACAGCAAGGAGCUGCUGGCUGCAAAAGGAGGUGGGACUGGCCCGGGCACUGCAGGUAACCCUACAACACCCUCCUGCUCUGGGCUGUGGGUCAGCAUCCUGUCCCACCUCUAAGGCUCCUCUUUCUGCUGUGGAUGAGCAGCCAGCUCUGGGAAAAAGCCUGGAGGUGCUAGGGCAGUGCUGGCAGACAUUGCACUUUAAUAGGCUUGAGGUCCUGCUGAGAUGCUGGGUUGGCUCAUCUUCAAUACAGCCGCACUGAAGAUCACCCUCUUCUUACACAUCUUGGUUUUUAGCAGACAUUUUGUCUCUUCCCAGCUCUUCUGUGGCCAAAGAAAAAGCACUCUCCCAUCGUGACACCCCUGUCACCAACAUCAUGACAUGCAAGGGCAAAAAAGCUUCACUCCAGGAAUUGUUCUAGGUGAGGUUGGAUGGGCCUUGGAGCACUCUGGGAUAGAGGAAGUGUCCCUGCCCGUGGCAGGGGUGGCACUGGAUGGCUUUAAGGUCCCUUCUACCCCAAACCAUUCCAUGAUUUUCUUUCUGGUGAGCUACACUCCAAGCCCAUGUUGUUCCCAAGACCUAGAGCUGCAUGCCAGGAGUGGUUCUCAAAAUUUUGGGGUGGUGCAGAAAGAAGUUCCAGUGGUGCAAUGAAUUUGGCCCAGCUGUACUUGUGUCCUCAAGAGGGGAGAGCUGUUGGUUCUACUGACUGCAGAGAACCCAGCCUCUGGGAUGGGUCAUUGUCCUAGCAGCAGACGGCAGUGGGCUUUCUCCACUCUUUUCUCAGAAAACCUGUCCUGGAAUUGCUCUGGAAAUCUCCCACACCAAUCAAAAUGUGUGUGCUUCCUGUGGAAGAGGCAAAAGUCGAUUUAGGUCAAAAAUAACUAUGUAUAGAGCAGAGAAACAUCUCCUGAGCCGUCUGCCAUGUACCAAAGCCAAGCUCCACUUAAAGCCUGAUGUGGCUUUAAAAAAUAUAAAAAACCUGACUGGCCUUCAUUCAGGGUUUUCAAACCAUUCUGCUCUUUAUAGGGCUGUUCAAACAUGGCUCCACUAAGCUGCUGUCCAUCAAAAAUAAGCUCUUGGUUCUUGCUGUCAAGAACGUUAACCCCACUUCUGCCUCUACUCCAGGAAAGAGCUCCUUGGAAGAGCCCUCAUGUCCAGCCCCAGCUCUGCCAGGCUGAUGGAGCACAUCUUCCUUCCAUUUUCUGCUGCCUCCAAUGGUCCUGGGAGGAACCUUUGCAAACAGUGAGAAAGUAUUUUAUUCAAUUAACCUGCACUGGUAAUCUCCAUGGAGAUCCUGCUUCUCUUCCCUUUCUCUGCUCUUGCGCUUGCUUAUUCUGGAUUGGUGCAAAAUCCCUCUUUUCCUUGCUCUCACUUUACGUGUUUCACCCAUAGCCCAUCUAUGAUUUCUAGGUCCUAGCCAGGAUCUUUUUUCCUGCUUCUGCUUCUCCCCUCCAUGGCCAGCAGUAAUGCAGAGUCAUCUGGAUGCCUUUCUGCAGACAUGGCACAGUGGCAUCCCCAUGCACAGCCAUGCUAUUGCUGCCUAAAUCCCUUCCCCUUCCACAGCAGGUCUACAAAUCACCAACGAGCCAGGCUUCAGGAUGAAGUCCCUUUCAUCAUGGAGAGAUGAGUUAUCAUUUCCCUUCCUGAAUGAGAUGCAGCAGAUUUAUUGUCCUGACUCAGCCCCCAAGUUUGUGUGAAGGAGAAAGGUCAGGACAGAGUUUGCAAACUCCGUCAAUAUUCCUGCCCUAGGAGGUUUUCUGCUCCCUGACAAAGUAGUUCAGCAAGGCUGGUUGCUUGUUUGAUGCCUUUUGUAAAGGCAGAAGGACACAGAUAUUUUGCUGAUAAUUCACUCAUCUGCAGUGAAUCAAGCAGCAAUCCACACCACUGAAAUCAUGGAUGAUGCUGGAAAAUCACUCUGUUCUCUCCAGCCCUUGGGUCACACCCAACCCCAGAGAACAAAAACUUCUCAGAAUUCCUAUUUCAGAAUAAUCUCAAAAAAUCAGUCCAGAAGCCAAAUAGUCUUGUUUUGGUUGUGAUUUAAAGAGGACUGGUCUGGUUUGGGAUUUUUAAAACUAUUAUCACGUACUUAAAUUAAAACUCCAAGCAGAAGUCCCAAAAGGGGAAAUGAACCUGCUCCAUUUCAACUUUACAAGAACAGUGUGCUCUGGGGAUUUUUCAAUGAGUUUUCAAAAUUAAACCUAUCUGCAAAACGUCUUGUUGAGUGAGCCCAUGGCCCAUUCCACAUCAAUAUCACAUGUCUGAUAUCCAAGUCCUGUCCCUCCAUGCCUUUUCCCCAUUCCCUCUCCAGCUCUCCUUGAGCCCCUUUAGGCCCUGGCAAGGGCUCUGAGCUCUCCCUGGAGCUUUCUCCUCUCCAGGUGAGCACCCCCAGCUCUCCCAGCCUGGCUCCAGCCCUGGAGCAGCUCCAUGGAUUCCUCUGGAUUCUUUCCAGCAGCUCAAGGUGCUGCUGCUGUGUCCCCAGGGCUGGGGCAGCUCUGGGGCAGAAUCCCCCUCCCCUGCUGCCCAGGCUGUGGGAUCAGCCCAGGGCAUGGGGCAUGUCCAGCCUCUCACCCACCAACAUCCCCAAAUCCUUCUUGGCAGGGCUGCUCUCCAUCUGCUCAUCCCCCAGCCUGGGUUGAUCCCAAUGUUUAGCAUCCCUUUGCUCUCAGGUCACUUUGGAGCACACUCUUUAUUUAUAGGCAUCCCAGAACAGCCUGUGGAAAAAUAAACACCUGACCCUUCCCAGUUUGUGACGUUUCCUCAUGCUCCUCCGGCAGCUCCUCCUGGAAGGCUCAGCCCAGGAGAAGCACACCUCUCUCCAGAUGGUGAGAGCUGCUGUCAGCCCAAAGAGGGAAAUCACAGCUGAGAUGAAGACACAAACUGGCAUGUGGGAAGGUAGACAGCAGAAAUCUUUGUGGUGGCUGAGCUCUGUCACUCCCCGUGAGCAACAGCCCGGUGAUUUCCUGUCAGAAACCAGCCUCUGCUGAACUUAACUACAAACCUGAUCUCACACGUUUUGAACAAGGAUGUUGUGCUCAGUUCUGGGCUCUGAGCACAGCAGGGACCCGAGCUCCUGGAGCUCAGGAAGGGCCUGGAGCAUCUCUGUGCCCAGGAAAGGCUGAGGGAGCUGGGGCUGCUCAGCCUGGAGAGGAGGCCCAGCGAGAGGGCCCUCAGGCCUGGUUGUUCCUGUCUAUCCCUGGCGUUCCCUGGCUGUCCCUGGCUGUCCCUGGGUGUCCCUGUGUGCAGGAGGGGCAGAGCAGGGCCCAGGCUCUGCUCCAGGCCCAGCAAUGGCACCAGAGCCACGGGCAGGGCCUGAGCCCAGGAAGUUCCACCUGCACAGGCUUCUGCCCUGGGCAGUGCCCAGCCCUGAGCAGAGCCCAGAGAGGUGUGGAGUCUCCCUCCCUGGGGAUAUCCCACACCCCUCUGGACACCUUCCUGUGCCCUGAGCUCUGGGAUGGCCCUGCUUGAGCAGGGAGGUGGCACCAGUGACCCACGGUGGUCCCUUCUGCCUGUCCCAUCUGGGAAUUCUAUGAUUCUAUGAUUCUGUGAACUGUAAGAGCCCCUCAUUCCAGCUGUCUGGGAGCUUGCAGGAUCCGAGGCACUGGUCUGAGAGGGAUCACAGCUCAGUGUCAUCCAACCCCAGCUCUCCUCUCCCAGGAGGGGACAGGUGUUUUUUUGGGGUGGAGAACAAUUCCCUGCCACGGUGAUUCAACCACCCUUAUGUUCCACUUCUUAUUUACACUCCCCAGUGGUAAUGUUAUGGUACUUAAUGGCUCACAAGGCCCUAUUUCAUCUUCUAAAUAUACAUCCCCAUUUUGCUGCCUGAACUCCCUUCAUUAUAUCACAAGCUGACUGCAGGCAUCAGUCAUGGCUGUGAUAAACACAAACUGCCCUAAUAUCAUUUCCCAGGCUGUGAAGAGCCUGAUCUCAGCUGUGCCAGAGCCAGAUGGAAGAGGGAGUUUGGAAUAGAGACUUACACUCUGUUAAAUGUAUGUGACAUUUAAUUAUGACUGCAAGAGCGUCUCUCUCAACCAGGGUAACAUGAGGCUGAAUUCUGCAAAUAACAGGAAAAACUCAGAUAAUUCCAGCUCUGCUGUUCCAGCCCCAGACUGAGCACUCACCGGUGCAUUCUGCAGCACAGCCCUGUUCCCGGAGGAUUUAUUAUCUCAAAUGCUGCAUCACGCAAACAAAAGGAGCUGCUCAAGUUUGGAAAUAACCUGCCUGAAUCCCUAAUGAAUGCACUGAAUUUAGCAGCCCUGGCAGGAGCUGGUGCACAGUGUCCUGUUGGUCUCUGGUUAUUUCUGCUGUUGCAGAGCUGAGGUGCAGCCCAGGGGACCUGACCCCGUCCUGUGCAAAUGCUGGAGGGACAGUCAGAGAGGUCAGGGAGGUCCCAGGUGGGUGGAGAAGCAUCUUCAGUCAGGCGGAGAUACCAGGAGGCAGUUUUGGUCAUUGGUGAUGGGGCACCAGAGCCUGGGAAUCCAGCUGCUCCUGGAACUUCAGGAUGGAUCACAGCUCCAGAAUCACCCAAGAGAGGAGUGAGGACAGGACAAGGAUGCGGCUGCACUGAGGUUCAUGCAGAAAAGUGAGGAAAAAAUUGGGAGAAAACUCCAAGGAUGUUCCCCAGAAAUUCAUCCAUGCCUGCCACCUGCCAGGCCAAGCUGAGGCUGGCUUUCCAUGGAAUGGAGAGCAGGGAUAGACAAUAAAGGGGCUUAACCCAAGAAGGAGCAGCUCAUCAUGCUUUGGCAGUAAUGUGCUCAGAGAAAUGCUGGGUAAUCCAAAGGAACAGACAUCUAAAAAUCCUGUUGAUGACUUCUUAUUUUGUCCUGAUAUCCUUGGUGAAAUCAAGGUGUUUUCUUCCUUUUUUUGUUUUUUUCCUCAGCAAGUAGAAAGUACAAAUAUCAGUAAACAGGAGCCCAUUUAACACCAGACUUUCAGCAAUGGCUAAGCCUCUAUCCAGCUCUUAAAUUCUGAUAAUG
rnacentral:lncRNA from 1 species